rnacentral:rRNA from 1 species
GACGAACGCUGGCGGCGUGCUUAACACAUGCAAGUCGUACGGUAAGGCCCUUUCGGGGGUACACGAGUGGCGAACGGGUGAGUAACACGUGAGUAACCUGCCCACAACUUUGGGAUAACGCUAGGAAACUGGUGCUAAUACUGGAUAUGUGCUCCUGCUGCAUGGUGGGGGUUGGAAAGCUCCGGCGGUUGUGGAUGGACUCGCGGCCUAUCAGCUUGUUGGUGGGGUAGUGGCCUACCAAGGCGGCGACGGGUAGCCGGCCUGAGAGGGUGACCGGCCACAUUGGGACUGAGAUACGGCCCAGGCUCCUACGGGGGGCAGCGGUGGGGAAUAUUGCACAAUGGGCGCAAGCCUGAUGCAGCAACGCCGCGUGCGGGAUGACGGCCUUCGGGUUGUAAACCGCUUUCAGCAGGGACGAAGCUUUUUGUGACGGUACCUGCAGAAGAAGCACCGGCUAACUACGUG